rnacentral:rRNA from 1 species
ACGCUCGACACCUACGGAGGCAGCAGUGGGGAAUAUUGCACAAUGGGGGAAACCCUGAUGCAGCGACGCCGCGUGAAGGAAGAAGUAUCUCGGUAUGUAAACUUCUAUCAGCAGGGAAGAAAGUGACGGUACCUGACUAAGAAGCCCCGGCUAACUACGUGCCAACAGCCGCGGUAAUCUGAGCGGGCUGGCAAGGC